AUUGCACACUGCUAGAACCCAGCAGAUAAACAAUGAACUCUGGGCGUACAUGUUGUGCUAAAUUAAUUCCAAGAUUUCGCUAACACCAUCAGAUGUUUAUGCAUCAAUGAAUGGGGUUUGAUAGUAGAACUUGGAACAUUU